AUGCUCUCAAUAUCCCAAUUUAUUUAUACAAUAGUUGAGUUUGAAUCGACCAUGACAAUAGUGUCAAUUAUAUCUUUAUAUUUUUGAUUUUUUCGUAUAAAUAUUUAUAUUAAUAGUUGAGUAGGGGAAGAUAGAGAGGUAUGUUUUUAAAGUGGCGUGGAUAGUUGUCUUCCGAUGUGACUACUAUUAAAUACAAGCGUAACAGAAAUAUCUCACACCUUUAUAAGAGUUUAUAAUAAAACACUCUCAUGGGCAGUAAAGCCAGGUGUGAGUGAGUGUCAACGGCAGCUGACGCCGAGCAAUCUCCAAUGCAAAGCUAUACCAGAGGCGUAGUCUACGAAUACAUUGCAUACAAAAUAAGCAUUUACAUGCGCAUACAUACAUACAAAAGCUUUGUUGCGGAGUUGCGGUCAACGCGAAUAAACAAUAUAACUUCAACCAAAAUUGUAAGUGCUUCUAUGGAUAGAUCUGAGCAAAGACAACGUAAAAAACAUCCUUUAUUUUAAUUGCUUGGCAAUUUUCAAAAGAAAACAACGCAGCUUCUCUACUGAGUCACAGAUAAAAUCAAAUAAAACGUUGCAAACAUUUCUAGUAUUGAAUGUACGUUGCGCAUACGACGUGUCGACUCCAAACGGCACAUAGAGCAAAACAAAAGGCUGUAGCGGGCGACUACGUGAGCACGUGGAAUUUUCGGCAUGCUCAUAGAACGACUGUUGCGCGGGCGUAAUAGUUUAGAGAAAAGUGAGUGUGGCGAUUUGAAAAUGUGCGCAAAAACAGGCGCUGCUACCGACAAGCUGCUACAAGUUCACUGGAUCACAAAGAGCAGGAGAAAUCAUUGCAAUUUAUAACAACUUAUCGAUGUCAUCAAUCACUAGCCUCCACUGCACGCAACGGACUGAUAAACUAACUCAAGCAGCGCACUUUUACACAAGUUCGCUUGUAGAAGUGUCGAAAUACCAUAUAUGUAUACAUGUGUGUAAAUAAAUAACUUUAUUAACACCCUACAGUGUACGUAAUCUGGAGUAAAUGGACGUUAAAUUAAAGUGAAAUUGGAAAUUGCACAUUUACGGGUUCAUGUGGUAGGGGUAAAAUUCACGCUGUCUUAUUUUUAGUUACCCUGAGAGUAGUAUGAAUGCGGGACCCUUAUAAGAAUAUUUAAUUUUGUAUCAUAGAAGUUUCCCUAGCGGCAAAAAUUAGUUAAUAUUUCAAUGAUGCACUUAAAAUUUCCAGUCAUUAAUUCGUAUUUCUACUACAGCAUACAUUAGCCAGCUUAAUCCUAACUUUAUAAGCUACAGCUAUGUUUAUUUAUAAAUCAUUUGAUAAUGUUUUUAACCAAAAAAAAAAUUUUGCAGAAUUUGAGUAUUCAACUCUAAAUCGGAAUACGUGGCUUUCAGGAUUACAAAAAAUGCAUUAAACACAUAAUUGAAAUAACAUAAAUUUUUUUUUGUAAUCUCAAAUACAGUAUUAAAAAAUAAAAAAGGUUUUAAUCGCUCAU